CGUCAUCGAUCCCAUCGGCGAUCGAGCUGGUACAUAAACAACACGAGCUGGCGAGGCUCCGGGCUCGCAUCGGGAUCUGGGACACUUACUCAGAGUUCCAAUCGCGCGCCAUGGAUCGCAAGCUCUUCGCUUGGCUGCUCGUGGUCGUCUUCCUCGUGUGUUCAUCGGCUGCCCCAGCAGUCUGCUCCUCCCGCCCCCUCGGUAUAUCAUCGAUCUCAACGACGAUGACGACUGGCGUGGUGGUUUUUCUUUUG
rnacentral:lncRNA from 1 species